UACGGGGGGAGCAAGCGUUGUUCGGAUUUACUGGGCGUAAAGGGCGCGUAGGCGGCCAGCACAAGUCAGUUGUGAAAUCUCCGAGCUUAACUCGGAAAGGUCAACUGAUACUGUGCGGCUAGAGUGCGGAAGGGGCAACUGGAAUUCCAGGUGUAGCGGUGAAAUGCGUAGAUAUCUGGAGGAACACCGGUGGCGAAGGCAGCUCGCUGGGACGGUACUGACGCUGAGGCGCGAAAGCGUGGGGAGCGAACAGG
rnacentral:rRNA from 1 species